rnacentral:rRNA from 1 species
GGAGGGCAAGUCUGGUCGAUCCUGCCAGGAGGGCAAGUCUGGUACUCUGGUUGAUCCUGCCAGUUUGAUCCUGCCAUAACCUGGUUGAUCCUGCCAGUAGUCAUAUGCUUGUCUCAAAGAUUAAGCCAUGCAUGUCUCAGUAUCAGCACUUUCACAGCUAAACUGCGAAUGGCUCAUUAAAACAGUUAUAGUUUACUUGGUGAUCAAUGGUUAUACGGUUAUAACUGUGGUAAUUCUAGAGCUAAUACGUGCAUUCAGACCUGACUUCUCGGAAAGGUCGUAUUUAUUAGAUACAGAACCAAUUCCCCCCGGGGAUUUUGGAUGAUUCAUGAUAAACGAACGGAGCGUAUGGCAUGAGCCGACGCUGUACCAUUCAAGUUUCUGACCUAUCAGCUUCCGACGGUAGGGUAUUGGCCUACCGUGGCAUUGACGGGUAACGGAGAAUUAGGGUUCGAUUCCGGAGAGGGAGCCCGAGAAACGGCUACCACAUCUAAGGAAGGCAGCAGGC